UUAAAAGAAAGAGGAAAAAAGAGUAGAGAGGAGGACACUUUCAGAAGGGGAAAUGAUGGCCUCAAAUUGAGUACCAGCUAGAAAGGCACGUAACGUGCACAAAAAGCUCUACCCCUUUGUUCGCUGGCCUGGUCGCUGGUGCAGGUUUGAGGUCUCUGCUGUUAGGCAGGAAAGGGUGGGGGCUCCCCUCCACCCUUCCCCUUCCUGCCCCUCCACUGGCUGAACAGGCAAGAGGAGGUCAGGACGACUCAUAUCGAAAACCAAGGGACCCAGAGCCCUGCAAAUCAAGGUCACCCAGCAGGGCUGCUGCUUCUCUAACCCUGGGUAAAAACCCACUGCGCAACAAGUCAAUAAAAUAAACAUGGAGACGCUUUAGAGCCAGGUCAGUCUGGCAGAGGUGCCCACCUCAGGCAUUAAAAAUGUGCUUUCGAUAGAGGGGUUGUACGGCAUGUGAAUCACAGCUCAGUGAAGCUGUUACCAGCAACAACAACAUCCUCCUCCUCCUCACACACGGAGACACCUGCUGCACCACGUGCAGGGAGCCAGCCUCUCCGAAUGCCAAAGGUGCUUGGCGUUUGUGUGGUUCCUCACGGUUUGCACAGCGCUUACAUAAAAUUUACUCAGGUUCUCUCACCUAUGACCUGAUCAGGAAGCUAGGGAGAAAGAAACAGAGGCCCCGUUGCCACAAAAGAAUUGAUUUCCCUAAGGCCGCACAGCAAAGGAAGCAGAGCUUGGGGCUAGAAUGCCAGUGUUUGUUCUACCUCGUUGCUCUUAGGGUCUGCAUGGAGGUGAGGGUAUGGGUCUCGCCAGCCUUUGGAGUUUUUCCUGGUUGCCAUGAAUGCCAAUGGUAAAGAAGUAGUGCUAGCAAAGAGAUAGAAGUUAUUUCUCAGAGGGAAAUUCUAAAUGGAUGGUUUCUAUGGGGUCUAGAAACUCUCAACACAAUUGAAAAACUUCCGGAGACUUAUGUAUCAAGUCUAUGCAGCCCUCAGUUACUCCAGGUAUAAAGUGGGGAGUCUGGGGAUACCUUGCCCACGAUGAACUUUUGCUGAAUCUGAAUUUCUUAGAGAAUCAAAACUCAGAGUGGUAAAUUCGAACAUGACCGUGAGUCACUUACAUUCUCUCCCUGAGGAAAGGAGUCACUGAGGCUUGAAGAAGGGCUGGGCUUAGAAUUGGGGAGAAGCACGGAUGAGAGGGUUGGUGUAUAUAAACCAAGGAACUCAAAAAUUCAAGAGCCGUGUCAGCAGACUCAGGGAAAGGGAAACAGAUGACUUGGGUUUUGACUAUUUUCACUGUAACCCCUCAAUGGUGUUUUCCUACAAUGAUGCAACACAAAGAGAUAGCAUAGCAGCCAUUGUCUGCUUUUAUUAAAUAACCAUCGUCCAAAUUCUCAGAACCCUCCGUAGAAGCCUACUCUUAAAACUUGAGGGCUGCCCUGCAAAGCGAACUGCUGUUCUUUCUGCUGUGAGUGAUGUGUUUUUUUUUUUCCUUUCCUGUGUAUUAACUGUUUUAUGAAAGAGAUUUCAAUACUGAAAUCUCUGCCGUCAGUCCUCUAAUCUGGGAAACUCAGAAAAGUACUAGGAGGACACCUCUAACAAGACGUUCCAUUGGUACUGCAUCCUCAUCAUGAGAUGAACUUAACCAGUCUCCCCCGUGCAAGCUCUCCCCCCAGGGUUCCCAUCUUAAUGGGUAGAAUCCCCACCUGCUCAGCCAGGCCAUUCAGAAAGACAGAAGGCACACUGGUUAAGGAAUAGAAUUUGCCCCUGAAGCUCUUGGUUCGAAUACUGGUUCUAACAAUUAGUAACCCAGAAAGUUACUUCAACUGCCUAAUCGGUGAUUUUCUCAUCUUUAAAAUUAGAGCGAUAAUACCUAUUCAUUACAUUGUUUUGAAGAAUAAGUAAGAAAAAUACUUAAAGCCCUUAGCGCAGCGCCUGGUCCAUAGUAAGUAAUUGAUAAAUGCUGGUUAUAAUCAUUAUAGUUCUGAUUCAUAUCUUGCUGAAGACUUUUUGAUCUCAAGAAGCAUGAAUAAAUUUGAAUUCUACUGACAUUUCAUGAGCUCGGGAUUUUAUGCCAGAGUUUAUUUGACUCUCCCAAGACACUGAUGAUAGAUAUUAUUUCCAUUAUGUCCCUGAGGAAACCCAGGCUGUGUUGGAGUACUGGAAAUAUAUUUCUCUGAAUAAUACAUUCUGUAGCUUUGAACCAUGAAGACAAAUAUAUCUGUGUACUGGAGCUACUACUAACAAAGGUCAUUGUAUCAAGUUAGAAAGGAAGAUAGUGUUCGUGCCAUAUUCAUCAUCUAUGGAAGAUUCAGGAAAGUAGCUGUGCUACUUUUUAGCAGUAUGUACUAGAGUGCGCAUGCUGUGUACUCUUAGUGUUCCAGCCAGCAUUCUGGUGCCUUCUCCUGCCGCCGUGGAAAACACUCAACACAACUUGGGAGUGAGUGCUAUUGCACCCAUUUGACAGAGAAGGGAACUGAGGCUCAGAGAGUCAGCAUAGUGUUUCCAUCUUACACUGUUUGCGCGUUUUAGAGUCAGGUUUCAAACCCAGUGCCCUUACUCUUUUCCACAACACCACACUGCCUCCCACGGGCUUCCUGAAAUAGAAUUAGAAAACCGUUAUGACUCAUAAUCCUCCUAGGCACAAAGUAAUCUCAAACAUCUCAGGCUUGAAAAAGACCUUAAGGACAACAGAUCAGGCAGUCCUCCCGAGGUUGGCAUCUCCUCUACAAUGUCUUCCAAAGAAUGUGUGCUCCCCUCAAACGCGUCCAAGCCUGGCUUGCUGGCCACUCCUGGGAUGGUUCACGAGACGAAGAGCACAGAAGGUCUCUGGUUCCAUCCCUUAUUACACGGAUAAUGACUUUGAGGCCCAAAGAAAGGCUAUGUUCCCUCGGAUCACACAUGGAGAAGAAAAUGCCCCAAUGUUUGAGAGCAGUCUUAUAGAGUAUCUUUACCCGACCCCAAGGCAAAACUGAACAGACAUGAGAAGUAACACCGCCAAAGCACAGAAGAUUCAAACCAAGUUUUCUUUAAAAGAGAAGAUCCCUCCAGCUCAGCCUGGACAAGAUCGACACUUUCCAGAUUGGUUUCUCACUGUGAAAUAUAAUUCCUCUGAAAUAAUCUCCUUUCCCUGCCCAACUUCCUAUAAGAAAAGGCAUCAGGGGUUCUCCUUAUGGCUCAGCAGGUUGAGAAACCCAACACAAUGUCUGUGAGGAUGCUGGUUCAAUCCCUGGCCUUUGACCCCUAGCCCAAGAA
rnacentral:lncRNA from 1 species